ensembl:lncRNA
UGGGCAGAGGGAGAAGCUGAGCCCUGAGGCAGUCAGAACAGAGAUCUCAGCCAGACCCACAGAAAGCUCUGGAAGAGGGGUGAUGCUUCAGUGUUGUCCAAGUUUAGAGCUCGUUCUUAGUCUCCAAUUGCUCUGGGGAACCUGUGGUGUAGUUCCAAGUCGAGUCUGAAGGCCUGAGGACCAGGAGAGCUGAUGGUCCUCCGAUGGAUUAGACGAGGCCCCCCCACAUUGUGGAGGGCGACUUGCUUUACUCCGUCUUCGGAAUCGAAUGUUCAUCUCAUCCGGAAACAUCCUCACAGACACGCCCAGAAUAGCGUUGAGCCAAAUAUCUGGGCACCUCCUGUCCCAGUCCAGUUGACACAUAAAAGUCACCAUCACAUUCGUCUCCCUUCACUAAAACAGAAGCCCUAUGAAGGCAGGGACUCUAUCCGUUUCCUUCUCUGUGGUGUCCCCAGCACCUAGAAUUCCACCUGGCUCCAAGUGGCUGCUUAGUAACUGGUUCUUGAGCGAAUGGAUGAAACUAACCCAUCUCUCCCUGGAUUGAGGGUCUGGAGGCCCGGGAUGGUGCAUGUUCAGUGGGUUUGUGCCUAAGCUGGGACUCAACCCAGGGCGCUGUUAUCUAUUGCUGCAUCAAACUUAAUAGCUUCAAAUGACGUUUAUUAUGUCAUAGUUUCUGCAGGUCAGGAAUCAGGCGCAGCUUAGCUGGCCCUGGCCUCUCUGUUCAAGGUCUCUCGCGGUGUCGGCCAGGGCUGCAGUCCACUGGGGGCAAAUCCACUUUUAAGUUCACGUGGUUGUUGGCCGAAUUCUGUUCCUUUAGGGUUGUUAGAUUGAGGACCUCAAUUCUGUGCUGCCUGUUGGCUGGAGGCGGCCUCAGGUCCUUGCCACGUGAGCCUUUCCGCUGUGGGAGGUUGCUUCCUCCAAGGGUGCCAGCUGAGAAGGCAGCGGAGAGAGCCUGCUAGCAAGAUGGAAUCAUAAUCAUCCGUAACCGAAAUACGGAAGCAGCAUCCAUCACCUUCGUCACAUUCAAUUGAGUCAUAGGUACUGUCCACACUCAGAAGGAGGGGAUUACUCAAAGCUAUGAAGACUAAGAGAUGGGGAGCAGGUGGCCAUCUCAUCUUUGAGUCUGCCUGUCACAGGUGGGUAGGCGCACAGACUCUGGAGCCAGGGUUCAAAUCCCUGCUCUGUCACUUCUUUCCUGUGUGAUCUUAGGUAAGUUACUUAACCUCUCUGUACUUUAGCUUCAACCUUUGAAAAAUUAGGCAAAUAAUAGUAUCUGCUUCAUAAGGUUGUUGUGGGAAUUAAAUAAGGAUACAGAAGUGCUUAGAACAGGGCCUGCACACGGAAGAGCUAAGUAACAAUUGGCUGUUACUCCUGCUCCUUUGGGCAGGCGUGCAGCGUAACCCUUAAAGGAAGUGCAGUGAAAGCUGCCCCGUGUUUCCUCCUUCUGUGGGAUUGUUCAGUCCAAUCUAGACCCUGUUCAUGCCACAAUUUCUCCUGCUUAGAGACUUUACCCCCAUAGGUUGAACUUUCUGAGAAUUUUUGAGUCAUAAACCAAGGGCAAUAAAUCUGGGAUCAUCAAAUGCCAGCUCGUGGGUUAGUGGCUGCUUAACGAAGAGUUCUGAUGGGCGUGGAAACAGAGGCGUGGUGUGGUGUCUGAUGGCCCAGAUCUGAUCGUUGAGGAAGUGAACUGGCUGGAGCAUGGUCUGAACUCGGGAGCUCAAGAUACAGACCGCAAGCUGUCUGUCCUUAAGCACUGAAGUCCUCAGAAAUCUGGAGCCACGGACAACUUAUUGUGUUCCAGUCCUAGGAUUUAUUCUUGAUUAGGACAAAGUCAUGGAAUGGAGUGAGCCUGUCUAUGAGCAAACAACCGAUGGUGAUGAGUCCUGAGAUGCACCACCUGUCACUGCUUCCUUUAGGCUUUUUAAACAGCUGUGUAGACUCCCAAUGGGUGUUUGAGUUGGAAGCCUCCUUAGACAUCAUUGCGUCCAGCUCAAACUCCAACCCGGUUCACCCCUGGCUGAUCGGCUUCAUGCUGGGAAGGAGACCACCACCUUCUGAGCCAGCUCGUCCGCUUGUAGACCCAAGGGAUUGAUGGACACGUCUCUGUCCACGGUGCCGAAGUCUCCCUCGGUGCGCCCACCUCCGCUGGUCUGCCUUCUCAUCAGUCUUCCACAAGACAGCCCGGGAAAUCUUCAGCCCCCGACCCCCGAUUGUAUUCCCAGUUCCUUUAAAAAAAAAAAAAACAAAACUCCCUAUCCUGUCACCCUGCUCACAAUGUGCACAGGUUUUCAGGGUGGUACCAAGACUUAUAUAUAAUUUUCCAUAUAUGGUCUGACACAGGCCCUGGACACUUAGUAUUUCUCUUCCUUUUUGUUUCAAACUUUUUAUUUUGAAAUAACGUGAAACUGAUAGGGAAGUUGUAGAAACCAUACAAAGAACUCCUCUGUGCUCUUAACCCAGGUGCACUGAUUGGUACUUGGUGUUUUUAGAAAACAGGACGGGCCCGUGACAAGGCUGUGAGGGUUCAGCAGAUCGUCUGUGUGGCCUGUGCACUGGGAUUCAGGGAAUGCGGUCGCAAGUUGCAUAACUUUUGGGGGACCUGUCACACACAGUUACCAUGGGCUGGGUUUGACAUUAAACACAUUCUCCAGCUCAUUUGCAAUUCUUGCCUUCUUCCUUCUGGCACUCACCCAUGAGAAACCUCGGUUCAAGGAGAAACCUCUGGUAAGAGAGUCUUGUUAGUUUUAGUCCAUCAUGGCAGCUUGUCAAAGUCUUGUUGACUGUCU